CCUCCCCGCCCUCCUCCUCAGCCCCCCAAGACAUCGGCAGAAAGGAAGGAACAACACACAAACAAAACAGGCUGGGGCCCUGAACUUCAGCGGGGGGCUGGGAGCUACUGCCAGAGGCGGCUGGGAGGAGAGGGGCCGCCCCUUUCCCAAUGGGGACGGCAAGUCGGAGGGCCAGGUAAAGCCAAGUGAAACUGACAAGGCGUGCGGUGCCCAUGUGCAGCGGGACAGAGCCGGGAGCAACAGCGCGGUCAUUAGGCAGCAGACUCCAGCGCAGCCCCCCCGUCCAGCAGCCACUGCCGUCUGCCCACCGGGCACUACCCAUCACCUCGUCCCGUCACCUCCCAUUCACAGCACGGCGUGUCCGGUGCUCACACCCAGCAUGGCUCAGUGCCCAGCGUGUCCGUGAGCCACCAUCCGCACGCCGGGUCUCCCUCCCCUCCCUACCCCGCGCCCUUGGCUCCAGGCUCUCCACAACCUGGCUCCUCUCCCAACCGGGCUUAUUGUCCACUAUGGCCACUCUCCAGCCUCCGUGCUCGCUGCCUACCAUCCACCAUGCACCGUCCAGUGCUUCCACCAUCACUGCCCCCAUCCUUCACUGAGCAAUGUUCCCAGAAUCCCCACUAUUCACUGCCCACCAUCCACCAUGCACCCUCCAGUGCCUUCACCAUCACUGCACCCAACCUUCACUGUGCAAUGUGCACAUAUCCCCACUAUUCACUGCCCACCACCCACCCUCCAGUGCAUUCACCAUCAAUGAUCCCAUCCUUUACUGUGCAAUGUGCCCACCAUCCGCUGCCCACCAUCCAGUGUAUCCACCAUCACUGCCCCCAUCCUUCACUGUGUAAUGUGCUGCUCACCAUUCUCCAUUACUCACUGCCCACCAUUGGCCAAGCCCAUCGCAGUAUGUUCGGUCUCUAGCCCCGUCAUGCACCACUCAGUGGGUCUCCCCUCCCUCACCCCUCCCUGUCCAGUUGUGUUCAGUAUCCGCAGCCCAACAUCGCCGGUGUCCGCUAUGAUCCGUCCAUUCACCCCAGUCCCACAGCCUCCGCUUUUCACUCCCACUCUUCUCCUCCCUCCCGCUCUCCGCCCGGGCGAGCCUGCCAGCCAGGCAGUGUGUCGCCACAAGGGCAGGUAGUACACGCGGGGCAUCAGGCUCCCGGAGCCGCACGAGAGGCUCCCCGGGGCGGGGGAUGACACUUGGGGACUCGUGUCCAGCUCCCGGCUCUGCUCGGAGACGCUCGGUGGCAGGGUGACCCCGCGCGCCCGGGGCUGGGGGAAGCUGCUCGCGGGCACCUCCCCGGCGGGGGCACGGGACGCCAGGCAGCCCGGCGCCUCCCGCGGAGCUCGCCGGCCCCUUGUUACCCCGCCGCCCCAAGCAGGCGGGAAGGGAGCCGCCGGCGGCGUCUCGCGCAGGGGGCAAGAAAAGACCCUUGGAGGAGCCAGGACCCACCCAGUGCCCCCGAAGGAGCGCAGCGCACGGAUCUGGGAGAGCCCCGCCGAGCCCCGCCUGGCCGGGCUGGGGGGCGCAGCGCGAGAGUCCCUUUCCGCCGGUCAGCCGCAGCUCAUAGAGACACCCACAUAUACACUUCCACCUACGUGAGAGCUGCGUUCAAAUGACUGAUAUGUGAAACCAUUCUGUCCAUGGCUCGUGUAUAUUUAUCUGAAAAUGUUUAAUCUUUAAUCAUCUAAAUAUACUGGCAUCAAAUGAAACAUUCAGAAGCCUAUAAUCCGUAAUUCACUUUUCACAUUUUAGUUAGAAUAGUUCCUGAUCCUGCAAAUGCUUACAUAUGUGCUUCACCUUACAUCUUCAAAUCAAUAAUGUGAUUUUUAUAGUAGGAAUGGACUAGAGCAAGAAAGUUUGGAUCUGAAUCUAGUCCACGCCAACAUUCAUGAGGUGUCUAGAUCUGGGUUUUUGGUUCAGGCCCAUCACUGCUUUGAUAUUUGAUUUAGUGUCUAAUAAUACUUUGUUGAAGAUUGCCAGCAUUUCCAUUAUAAACCCACUUCUUGAGAAGUUUAUAAUUCAGCCAUAAAAAUAUUUGCCCUGGGCUAAAUCAUGUAAUAUAAAACAUAAAUGUCCAAAUAAAAACAUGGUUUUGCCAUUUGAACAACAGUGGUACAGAACAGCUUUGAAGUUUACCCCUUUUAUGCAGUUAUAUAACUCAGAAAUAAAUGUAAUAAAAAUGAAGUUUGGCAAGUGAUUAAUCAUGACUGUAGACAUAUUUAUAUGCUGUUAUUUUGAAAACAACAAAACAACAACAAACCAUCCAAGAUGUUUGCUCAUGACAAUGGAAGUUGUGCACUGUUACUUUAUAUUAAAGUAAUUCUAUUAGUUUUUAUUAAGUGCUAGAAACAAAUUUACACAAUAAACAGCUAUCUAGUAGUGUCUUCAUAUCUACUUUAGUCCUAGUCCAUUCUUUGUAACCUUCUCCUCUCUGGUCUUCCUGUCUCUCAUUUAGUCUCCCAUAAAGUUUGUCCAAAAUGAAGCUAUUGUGUUAUUUUCCUCUCCUGUUAGCCCCAUCAGACACUUCCUUGAAACCUCCUUUUGGCUUCCUGUCUUUUGCUGCAUUGAAUUGAAGCUCCUCAUUUUAUAGAUUAUACAUAAUCUUGCCCUCCGCUACAUCUCUUCUCUCCCACACUUUUUAACUCCUACAUGUUGUAUGCUCCCACUCAAUCUUUCACACUCAAUGCUUUUCUCGUUCCGCUUAUCUUACUUCUCCCUUCAAUAUACAGCCACAUAGUUCUGAAAGAUGCUCCCUCUUCUUCUACAGUACACAACCUCACAUUCUUCUUUUCCAGGCUGUUCUGUUCUGUUCAGGUUCUUACAUUGUGCCCAUCACUGGUACCAGAGAUCUCUCCUGAAAUCCUUCCUACAUUCCCCAACUCCUUUCUUCCCUCCAGAUAUCUGUCCACACCUUCUUUACUAAAUUAUUUUUUUGUUUCUUGACUUGGCUUUGUUAGUCUUGUUUGUAUUAGAUUAAGCAGUGGAUAUGUUAAACAUAAUAUGAAUGUAUGGCAUUAUGAAUGAUAUUUAAUAGUCAAUUAUUAAGAAUUAAUAAUAACAUAUACCCAAACAGGUCUCAAGUAACUAUCACCAUUGGUCAGAGAAAUAACGUGUACCAAAUCUGCCUGUCUGAGGCUAAGGAUCUGAUCAUACUCUCAUCUAAGGCAAUGGCAAACUCUCAUUGACUUCAGUGGAGCAGGAAGAGGCCUUAGAUAAUUAACUUGUUUUAUCGACUUUUUCCCCCCAUUUGGUUAGAAAAUGAUGUGCUAGUGUAUGUUUCAAUGAAGAUAAAUGUGCAACAUAAAAAAUAGCCAGACCAUUUAAUAUGUAAGGCUUCACUAAACUGAAGCUAUAUAAUCAUAAAAAACAAACAUGAGUAAAGAACAAUGUUAGACUUA